GAGUUUGAUCCUGGCUCAGGAUGAACGCUAGCUACAGGCUUAACACAUGCAAGUCGAGGGGCAGCAUGGGGCAGCAAUGUCCCGAUGGCGACCGGCGCACGGGUGAGUAACACGUAUCCAACCUGCCCAUGACCAGGGAAUAACCCGCGGAAACGCGGCCUAAUGCCCUAUGUGCUCCGAAGAGGACAUCCGAUUUGGAGUAAAGAUUGAUCGGUCAUGGAUGGGGAUGCGUCCGAUUAGGUAGUAGGCGGGGCAACGGCCCACCUAGCCUGCGAUCGGUAGGGGUUCUGAGAGGAAGGUCCCCCACAUUGGAACUGAGACACGGUCCAAACUCCUACGGGAGGCAGCAGUGAGGAAUAUUGGUCAAUGGGCGAGAGCCUGAACCAGCCAAGUAGCGUGCAGGAUGACGGCCCUAUGGGUUGUAAACUGCUUUUAUGCGGGGAUAAAGUGCUCCACGUGUGGGGCAUUGCAGGUACCGCACGAAUAAGGACCGGCUAAUUCCGUGCCAGCAGCCGCGGUAAUACGGAAGGUCCAGGCGUUAUCCGGAUUUAUUGGGUUUAAAGGGAGCGUAAGCCGAUGGCCAAGCGUGUUGUGAAAUGUGGACGCUCAACGUCCGACUUGCAGCGCGAACUGGCCGUCUUGAGUGCGCGCAACGUUGGCGGAAUUCGUCGUGUAGCGGUGAAAUGCUUAGAUAUGACGAAGAACUCCGAUUGCGAAGGCAGCUGACGGGAGCGCAACUGACGCUGAAGCUCGAAGGUGCGGGUAUCGAACAGGAUUAGAUACCCUGGUAGUCCGCACGGUAAACGAUGGAUGCCCGCUGUGUGCCCCUAGGGUACGUGGCCAAGCGAAAGCGUUAAGCAUCCCACCUGGGGAGUACGCCGGCAACGGUGAAACUCAAAGGAAUUGACGGGGGCCCGCACAAGCGGAGGAACAUGUGGUUUAAUUCGAUGAUACGCGAGGAACCUUACCCGGGCUUGAACUGCAGAGGAAGGUCACAGAGAUGUGCCCGCCCUUCGGGGUCUCUGCGGAGGUGCUGCAUGGUUGUCGUCAGCUCGUGCCGUGAGGUGUCGGCUUAAGUGCCAUAACGAGCGCAACCCCUCUCCUUGGUUGCCAUCGGGUGAUGCCGGGCACUCCAGGGACACUGCCGCCGUAAGGUGCGAGGAAGGUGGGGAUGACGUCAAAUCAGCACAGCCCUUACGUCCGGGGCUACACACGUGUUACAAUGGGGAGUACAGAAAGUCGGCUGCGCGCAAGCGUCGUCCAAUCCUAAAACCUCCCCUCAGUUCGGACUGGGGUCUGCAACCCGACCCCACGAAGCUGGAUUCGCUAGUAAUCGCGCAUCAGCCAUGGCGCGGUGAAUACGUUCCCGGGCCUUGUACACACCGCCCGUC
rnacentral:rRNA from 1 species